AUUUGAUGAUGUGGGCAUUGUAUUUGAAGAUCAUUAAAUCUAUCCCCAAGCUUCGUAGAAUUCUUCAUUAGAUUUUUGUCUAAAAGUUUUAAUUAUAUUUCGAAUAUC